GGCGGCGGACGGGUGAGUAAUGCCUAGGAAUCUGCCUGGUAGUGGGGGGUAACGUUCGGAAACGGACGCUAAUACCGCAUACGUCCUACGGGAGAAAGCAGGGGACCUUCGGGCCUUGCGCUAUCAGAUGAGCCUAGGUCGGAUUAGCUAGUUGGUGGGGUAAUGGCUCACCAAGGCGACGAUCCGUAACUGGUCUGAGAGGAUGAUCAGUCACACUGGAACUGAGACACGGUCCAGACUCCUACGGGAGGCAGCAGUGGGGAAUAUUGGACAAUGGGCGAAAGCCUGAUCCAGCCAUGCCGCGUGUGUGAAGAAGGUCUUCGGAUUGUAAAGCACUUUAAGUUGGGAGGAAGGGCAGUAAAUUAAUACUUUGCUGUUUUGACGUUACCAACAGAAUAAGCACCGGCUAACUCUGUGCCAGCAGCCGCGGUAAUACAGAGGGUGCAAGCGUUAAUCGGAAUUACUGGGCGUAAAGCGCGCGUAGGUGGUUCGUUAAGUUGGAUGUGGAAUCCCCGGGCUCAACCUGGGAACUGCAUUCAAAACUGACGAGCUAGAGUAUGGUAGAGGGUGGUGGAAUUUCCUGUGUAGCGGUGAAAUGCGUAGAUAUAGGAAGGAACACCAGUGGCGAAGGCGACCACCUGGACUGAUACUGACACUGAGGUGCGAAAGCGUGUGGAGCAAACAGGAUUAGAUACCCUGGUAGUCCACGCCGUAAACGAUGUCAACUAGCCGU
rnacentral:rRNA from 1 species